GACGAACGCUGGCGGCGUGCUUAACACAUGCAAGUCGAACGGAAAGGCCCUGCUUUUGUGGGGUGCUCGAGUGGCGAACGGGUGAGUAACACGUGAGUAACCUGCCCUUGACUUUGGGAUAACUUCAGGAAACUGGGGCUAAUACCGGAGAGGAGCUCCUGAUGCACGGUGGGGGUUGGAAAGUUUCGGCGGUUGGGGAUGGACUCGCGGCUUAUCAGCUUGUUGGUGGGGUAGUGGCUUACCAAGGCUUUGACGGGUAGCCGGCCUGAGAGGGUGACCGGCCACAUUGGGACUGAGAUACGGCCCAGACUCCUACGGUAGGCAGCAGUCGGGAAUAUUGCACAAUGGGCGGAAGCCUGAUGCAGCAACGCCGCGUGCGGGAUGACGGCCUUCGGGUUGUAAACCGCUUUCGCCUGUGACGAAGCGUGAGUGACGGUAAUGGGUAAAGAAGCACCGGCUAACUACGUG
rnacentral:rRNA from 1 species